UCCUGGAGCCGCACCCUCCCCUAUACACUC
rnacentral:piRNA from 1 species